rnacentral:rRNA from 1 species
UGCGUAGGCGGAUAACUAAGUCUAAGGUGAAAGUCUGUGGCUUAACUAUAGAAUUGCCUUGGAUACUGGUUAUCUUGAAUUGGGUUGAGGAUGGCGGAAUGUGACAUGUAGCGGUGAAAUGCAUAGAUAUGUCAUAGAACACCAAUUGCGAAGGCAGCCAUCUGGGCCUUGAUUGACGCUGAGGCACGAAAGCGUGGGGAGCGAACAGGAUUAGAUACCCUGGUAGUCC